UUUAUACGGAGAGUUUGAUCCUGGCUCAGGACGAACGCUGGCGGCGUGCUUAACACAUGCAAGUCGAACGGUCUACCUCGACAGAAACCUUCGGGUUGACGACGAGAUCUAGAUAGUGGCGGACGGGUGAGUAACACGUGAAUAAUCUGUCCUCAAGUCCGGGAUAACCUGGCGAAAGUCGGGCUAAUCCGGGGUAAGCUGAGAGUGUGGCAUCACACAAUCAGAAAAGGUGGCU
rnacentral:rRNA from 1 species